rnacentral:rRNA from 1 species
GACGGAGGGGGCUAGCGUUGUUCGGAAUUAUUGGGCGUAAAGAGCGUGUAGGCGGCUUUGCAAGUCCGUUGUGAAAACUCGAGGCUCAACCUCGAGACGCCGGUGGAAACUGCAAAGCUAGAGUCCGGAAGAGGAGAGUGGAAUUCCUGGUGUAGCGGUGAAAUGCGCAGAUAUCAGGAAGAACACCCGUGGCGAAAGCGGCUCUCUGGAACGGUACUGACGCUGAGACGCGAAAGCGUGGGGAGCGAACAGG